CACGUAGGGCGCAAGCGUUGUCCGGAAUUAUUGGGCGUAAAGAGCUCGUAGGUGGUUUGUUACGUCUGCUGUGAAAACCUAGGGCUUAACCCUGGGCUUGCAGUGGAUACGGGCAGGCUAGAGUUCGGCAGGGGAGACUGGAAUUCCUGGUGUAGCGGUGAAAUGCGCAGAUAUCAGGAGGAACACCGGUGGCGAAGGCGGGUCUCUGGGCCGAUACUGACACUGAGGAGCGAAAGCGUGGGGAGCGAACAGG
rnacentral:rRNA from 1 species